UACGUAGGUGGCAAGCGUUGUCCGGAUUUACUGGGCGUAAAGGAUGCGUAGGCGGACAUUUAAGUCAGAUGUGAAAUACCCGAGCUUAACUUGGGUGCUGCAUUUGAAACUGGGUGUCUAGAGUGCAGGAGAGGUAAGUGGAAUUCCUAGUGUAGCGGUGAAAUGCGUAGAGAUUAGGAAGAACACCAGUGGCGAAGGCGACUUACUGGACUGUAACUGACGCUGAGGCAUGAAAGCGUGGGGAUCAAACAGG
rnacentral:rRNA from 1 species